GUAAGGAAUAUUGCUCAAUGGGAGAAAUCCUGAAGCAGCAACGCCGCGUGGAGGAUGAAGGGUCUAUGACUUGUAAACUCCUGUAAAGAAGGAAAAAAUUCCCAUUAGAUGGGAGAUGAUGGUACUUCUGGAGUAAGCCCCGGCUAACUACGUGCCAGCAGCCGCGGUAAUACGUAGGGGGCAAGCGUUGUCCGGAUUUACUGGGUGUAAAGGGUGCUCAGGCGGAUUUGUAAGUCAGAGGUGAAAUCUUACAGCUUAACUGUGAAACUGCCUUUGAUACUGCAAGCCUAGAGUAUGGAAGAGAGUGAUGGAAUAUCUGGUGUAGCAGUGAAAUGCGUAGAUAUCAGAUAGAACACCAAUGGCGAAGGCAGUCACUUGGUCCAUUACUGACGCUAAAGCACGAAAGCGUGGGUAGCAAACA
rnacentral:rRNA from 1 species